GUAUCCUUGUAACGCAAUGGAUAGCGUGUUGGACUUCUAAUCUAAAGGUCGUGGGCUUUGAAUGCCACCUGGUAUG